rnacentral:rRNA from 1 species
CAGUCGCCGCGGGAAUACGAAGGGGGCUAGCGUUGCUCGGAAUUACUGGGCGUAAAGGGAGCGUAGGCGGAUCGUUUAGUCAGGGGUGAAAUCCCGGGGCUCAACCUCGGAACUGCCUUUGAUACUGGCGAUCUUGAGUAUGGGAGAGGUGUGUGGAACUCCGAGUGUAGAGGUGAAAUUCGUAGAUAUUCGGAAGAACACCAGUGGCGAAGGCGACACACUGGCCCAUUACUGACGCUGAGGCUCGAAAGCGUGGGGAGCAAACAGGAUUAGAUACCCGUGUAGUCCCUGUCUCUUAUAC